rnacentral:rRNA from 1 species
UACGUAGGGUGCGAGCGUUGUCCGGAAUUACUGGGCGUAAAGAGCUUGUAGGUGGUUUGUCGCGUUGUUCGUGAAAUCUCACGGCUCAACUGUGAGCGUGCGGGCGAUACGGGCAGACUAGAGUUCUGCAGGGGAGACUGGAAUUCCUGGUGUAGCGGUGGAAUGCGCAGAUAUCAGGGGGAACACCGGUGGCGAAGGCGGGUCUCUGGGCAGUAACUGACGCUGAGAAGCGAAAGCGUGGGGAGUGAACAGG